UGCCAGGCAGGGGACGCAGCAGCAAUGCAGAGCCCUGCAGGUGGCUGUGCCGGGAGGGAGCCAGACCCUGGGAGUCCCGGGGACCCGGCAGGCAGCGUGCGCUCUCUGGCGGGGAGGAGAGCCCGGCGACACCGUCGUGGAAUAGGACUGGCUAGCCUCCGAUUCCAGCGGUGGCCCAGCGUCCCCGGGCCGCAGGUUUUCCCCGGACCUUCCCGGCCGGGAGAGGCCGGCGUUGGGUUCUACGGUGCUGAGCCUCCGAGCCGACCCGGCCCGCGCCCUCCCCACGCAGACUCGCACCCCCGCGCCGCCCUGCGCGCGCCCUCACCCGGCUCUUGCAGCGGUGGUGCCGGCCGGGGUCUGAGUAGGUCCGGUCCACGGUGAGCGCCGUGUCGCUGCCCGGCAUGUCUGCGCUUAGACUGACAACUUUGCGUCCUCCGGGGCUGCCGCUCCACUCGGCGCCGGGUGGCAGCUGCUCGCCGUGCUCCGCUCACCCUCGCCCCGGAGCCGCGGCCGAGGGGGUGGCGCGGGCCGCUGCAGCUGCUGCCGACACCCCGCGGCCCUGCGCCGCCGCCCGGGUGGGGAGGCGGGCGACAGUCUCCGCCCCUUUCCCCGCUCCCCGCCCCUGCGCCCGCGCGGCGCCUAGACCCGCUCCAGGUGCCGGGCUCAGCUGCCCUCCCUGCCUGCGAACGGGGCCCACGCGCUCCCACGCCUCUCCCGGCUCAGAUGAGCGACGCUGGCACAGGUUAUGGACCCACUUGAGUGUGAUAAAAAAGACGGGUUUGAGCACACAGGAGGUUGCCGGAUGCCUUAAUGAAAUAUAUAUACAUAUUUCACUCAACAGGCACACUUACUUGCUGGACAGCUUUCCUGGACCUGGACAGUGGGCUAAGGAUUCCAGGACGGAGGGGCAUUUUCCCAUCUAGUAUUCCACGGAGCGGCACUCCCACUGUGUUGUGUAUCUUAAUUGUGCUUGUGUGACUCACUGUGUUGUAAGCUACUUUGAAACCGGGACAUCUUUCCACUUGAGCGUUCUCUAGUCCCAGCGAGUGCUCCCUGCCCACAAGGAAUUUGGAAUCUGAAGAGAAAAAGUACUGAUUGGUAAUCAAUGCGGUAUCGGUUGCCUAACCCCCAAAUUAACUACACAAGGUCCAGUGGUUUCGUGAGACGUGCCCCUGAGACCGGAUUGGCAGGUUUUAAAUCACUGAUCCUAACAGGCUCAGAGUGCAGUGUGAUCUGCCUACAGGGAGGGGAGGAGGUGUUUAUCCCCCUAGCUGGCUGAGAGAAAACAGGUCUGUGCGUUGGGUGGGGGUGGGGGAGGGGACCCUCAAGGUGUCGGUUUAGUGGGUGUCUUCAGGCAAAAAGGGAUCAGGUAGAAGAACGGAGAGUCGGGGGUAGGGGGUGGGGGGAAUGUACUUUCAACAUUAAGUUCAGCUUUGUUCUGUGGGUGUUUGGCAAGCUGCUGGGCUCCCUGAACCAGAAGUUGACAAGAUCAGGAUGGAAGUCUAAGACAUCUAUCUGAUAGUCCUGUGAGAGGCAUUGAUGAAAGAUAAAGAACUCUCGAUAGGAGGCCUUUUCAAAGACUGAGGACAACCUGACCUAUGUGUCAUUCACUCACAAGGAGACCAGGGAACCAAGCAUGUCGACUUAGUGGAGUAUUAGACAAGUGUAGCAGUUGCGAUGGCCCUCUGUGGAGUCAUUUCUAGCAUGUAUAGUUAAGUGAAGAAAAGCAAGGUGCUGGAGAAUAUAGUGUUCUACCAUUUAUUGAAAGUGCAAUGUGUAUCAUAUCUAUAUAGAGAAAUAUAGAUACAUAUACAUACAUACAUAUACAUAAAUAUAGAUAUAUGCCUGUGCUUAUAUAUACACAGGGCACAUUUCUGACAAGAUAAAAAAAAAGCUACAGGAAUAAGUGAACAAGCAGCUUAAGUUGGGAAAGGAGAACUGAGCAGCUACAGGGCAGAUGGGAGGAUUGUUUGUUUAUUGAUCGUUUUUUCACUGAGUAUACAUCUUAAAUGUGGCCACAAAAGUAGAGUAAAUUAUUAAAACUUAAAAAGAAUCAGAAACCUAAUUUAAAGCCACUUAAAGGGGAAAAGAACCUUUAAAAUAAAACACAAACAAACACACACACACACACAAAACGCAUGCAUACACACACACACCAGGCUCAGAGAGAUUUUCAGGUAAAUUCUUCCACGCAAAAAGCAUAGAUUGUGAUGUGUGUGUGUGUGUGUGUGUGUGUGUGUGUGAUUUCAGUUAUGAUGUCCAGAGAAGCUUUUGUGAUAGGCCAAUAUUUGAGCAGAGCCUUAGGGAAUGACUAUGUUUGUAUGAGGAAUGCAGACUUAGGAAGUGAGAGAGACUGUAAUGUAUGUGAUGGUUUGAAUGAGAAUGCCCCAUAGGCUCAUUCAUCUAUUUGAAGGCUUGGUCACCAGGGAGUGACACUAUUUGAAAGGUUUUGGAAUGUGUCUUCCUUGGAAGUGAGUCACUGGGAGUGGGAUUUGAGGUUUCAAAAGCCUAUUCCACAUCUAGUGUCUCUCUCUUCCAGAUGUAGAACCCUCAGCUCCUUCUUCAGCACCACAUCUACCUGCAUGCUGCCAUGCUUCCCACCAUGACGACAAUGGACUAAACCUCUGAACCUGUAAACCAGCACCAAUUAAAUACUUCCUUAUUGAGGUUUGGUCUGUUGCUAUGUAUUGUAAUGCUAAAUUCUGUACCUGAAGUUUUUGUUGUGCAAACCUUGUUCCUUAAUAUAAAACUAUUGGUU
rnacentral:lncRNA from 1 species